ACAGAAUUCUAGGAGGACUAAACACAGUAUAUGAAAAACAGAUGGAAAUUGAGAUGUUGAUCAAGUGAAUACCAAAAACAGUGAAAACUAGAAAAGUGACAGGCCUGACAUCGAUGUUUGUAUCCUAACGAUACUGCAAGAAGCAAGUAAUGAAAAUUGACAGCAGAUUUACCUGCCUGUAAUAGGCAGGACUGGAGACAAGCUGUGGGGGUGACUGGCUUGAUUGAUGUGAUACUGGCCCAUUAGGUAUAAAACAGAUGGAAGCUGAUGUGGAAGAACAUAUUUCACUUGGAAGAGCAGUACGUAUUGUUAUAGGCAAGUUCCGCUAUGAAGAGAAAAGUGGGCCAGUUAUGCUGUGCAUACAUUUGGAAAUGCCAGGACUAUUCCCAUUGAGUUAGAUAAAGGACUAUAAGGGUACAUGAUAGCUGGCAGAGGAAAAGGGACAUUAAAUUUGUCACUAAAUUUUGAGAAGAAUGUUUUCUAAGUGUUCCAAUCAAAAGUAAACGUGUUUCCAGGAUUUGAAAAUAGAAGAGGAUGAAAAGAUCUCUAAAGCAUAAAUCUAAUAAAUGUUGCACCUACUGUGGGCCAGAAAAUCUACUCUAGAGCUACUUCAGUAAGUUUUAGAAGAAGGAUCUAGGAAUUACUGCUGGAUUACAUGUGGUGGAAGAAAGCAAGAGGAAUCAAGGAUAGAUCCUAAAUUUCACUUAAGUAGUUUCAGGCUAGAUGGCCAAGCACAUUUGCCAUUUCCUAUUUUAAUCCUGAGAAAGAAAUGUUCAUCUAAGUGUGUUUCUCCUAUGAUGAACUUUUAGGACAUCUGUCUGGGAUCAGAGGUUUACUAACACAUUACAAAACUGCCUGCUGAACUGUGUUGGGGAAAUUUUUUCUUCACUUAAAUAUGUUUGAAACGGGAUCUUGAGUGGAAAAUCCCUGUACAUGUAAAAGCAUUUAUUAAAAUUAAUAAGAUCUAUUUACAACAUUUGUAAUAGUGUCAGAGGAAAGGCAAAUAAUAAAACAGAAUUUUUUUCUUGCCACAAUAAUUCUCUUGUUUGGAAAGCCUAGCUCUAAGGCUCUCAUUUUAUAAUAUGGUUAAUGAGAA